CCUUUUCUUCUCCUUCACACUCCAAAGGCCUAAGCUUUUCUCUGUGCUUUCCAUCUUCACGCUCCAUAAUAGGGAGCAAUACACAAAAUUUUAUUAAAAAAAAAAAAAGGAAGAAAACAAAAAUAGUAGAAAAUAAAGAGAGAGAGAAAAAAUGACACUUUUUUUGGGUUUUAGCUCCAAAUUCCAUUUGAAUUCUCACCAAAGCCUCCCUCUCUGAGCUUCCUUCAGCUCCAUUAUUGAUGAGAUGAGAUUUUGGGUGCUGCUAAGAGCUUAAGAAUUCUCAGUCUGUAAUUGCAUAUUUAAAGCCUGCAGUUGUAAGGAUUCUUGUAUUGAGGAACAGGAUGGUGGACUAUAUCGAAUUUCGGGUUUUUCCAAGCCAGAAUAGAUAUGAGGCUUGCAUUUGUUACCACAACAAGAUAGAGACUGUUGCCUCUGGAGUUCUGGAGCCACUGGCUAUGCAGUCUCCCAAAAUCAAAGCUUUAUGCUCCAGAGGAUCAGAUGAAACCUUCAAACUUCAACCACCAGAGAAGCUUAAUGAUGCCAAGUGGUUUACAAGAUCUGCUUUAAUGAGAUUUGUUCAUAUUGUCAGUUCAUCAGAAGUUCUGGAUAAGGUCAAGGCUAUGGAAAAUGAGAUAUCUCAGCUGGAAGAAUCCCUAAAAUUUCAUGCUUCUAUAUAUGCAAAGGCUGAUGAUACUUACGUCGCACCCGAUGCUUCCAAGAACGAAUUACUUCGGGCGAUGGAGUUGAGGCGCACAACAUUAAGAGGAGAUUUAGAGAGUGCUUGGUACCAAGCUGCUGGUUCUUCUGAGGAAAUUUCUGACAUUCUGAAGUUCUGUCAUCAUUUUGGAGCUGUCGACUUGAGCAACUCCUUGCAGAAGUUUCUUGGGUUGAGCCAAGAGGACAUGCCUGCAAAUGUAGCAGAAGUUAAGGAUUCUGUCCCAGAAACUUGUCCAACACAAUCAGAAACACCUGUUAUAUAUGGUGCCUCUCCUGCAAAAGCUGCUCAGAUUGAGAGGCAAAGCUCAUCAGAAGGGGAGGAGUCUUCAUGCAUCAGUGAGGAGGAUCAACCAUCAGUGGAACGAAGUCGGCCCCUAACUCGAUCUGCCUCACCACGACGGUCUGCUUCCCCAAUGCGACGAAUCCAGAUAGGGCGCUCUGGUACCCGAAGGUCCACUGCUUUAACCAUCAAGAGCUUGAGCUACUUCCCUGCCAGAGAAAAGCUAGUCUGUCAAGAGAAAAGCGACGAGGAAGAAUCUGAGCAAACCUCAAGAACAUCAGAGAAUAACGUACGCAGAAUGAGCGUGCAGGACAGGAUCAGUCUCUUCGAGGGCAAACAGAAAACUCAAACCGAUGAUACUCAGAAAAUGAAGUCAGUUCUAAAUGCUGCUCCUGUGAUGGCUGCAAAUAAAGCUGUACUGAGAAGAUGGAGUGCAGGGAUGGGUGAUUCUAGCUCUCCUGCUUCUGAUAAUCCUCAUUCCAUGGAAUCAGGACAAGAAAUUCCGAGUGCCUCAGAAGCGAUACUAGGUCCUGAUUCGUGUACUAGUGGCUUACCCCCCGAGGCUGCUGAAAUAGGAGAGAAACCUGAUGUGUGUGAGGAAAGAGUUCCAAGUCAUGAGGGAAUGGAGGAAGAUGAUCUCCCAGUCCAAAGAGAAGAAGGUAGUGAAAUGGAAGCUGCAUCAGCCGAGAGGACUUGCCAGAAGGACGAGGAGGUAAGCCCGCCUCAGAUUGCCAUGACGAACGCCCAGCCUGCAGAAAGUGAAGGUCUUAAUGAGCAGACGGUUCGUCCUUCCAAUCAUCGUUACAGAGAAAAGAGGAACGAGAAGCUUCAAGGUGAGACUGAUAGAAAGCGAGUAGAGAGGAAAAAUCCCAGAAGUAAUCUUGAUGAAGGAAUAGCUAGAAAGACCUCUGGAAAUUCAAGUACUGUAAAGAAAACCCAAAGAACACUGAAGAAUUCACUUCAGUCUGCAAAUCCAAAAGACGAAACUUCAAAACCUGGUGUUGUGAAGAAAGCUUCUAGUGCAAAAGCUUCACCUUUACCUGCCACGCGUAAAUCAUGGCCAUCAACACCAUCACCAAGAGCUAUCGGGGCAUCACAAGUUAAAACUCCAUCACCGAGAGCUAUUACUGGUGUGAUUCCUGCCACCAGAAGAUCAAAGCCAACACCAUCAGUUCCUCAAAAAUUUGAAAGAUCACAACAGCCAGAGACGACGUCUGUGAAAGCAUCCCCAAGUGAUACUAGGAAGAGUGUGAAAAACUCGAUAAGAAAGCAGCAGCAAGAGGUCAUAGGAGCAAGCAAACUUACAAAAACCAAAGUUAAGGCUAACGAGGUAUCCAAGAAAAGCAGCAUGGCUCCUCUGGAACUAAAGGAACCAGCUAAGAAACCGAGGCCUUUUCUCCACAAGGAGUCUAGGACUGGACCUGGCAUAAGUCCAGGUGCCAAAUCAAAAAUUUCUCCACCAGUAGAUCCUUUGAGGGACUCAGUGGAUUCGGGUAGAGCUAAAGAGAACGAGAUGGCUUCUGUUGUUUAUGAACAGGUGCAUCAAAAUGAGGAUAGAGGUCUUACCGAAGUAAAAGUCCAUGCAGAUCUUGAAACAGAAACACAGCUAAAUAUCCCACAGAAAUACGAAGAAGCUGGAAGUUCUAAUCCAGUUACUUCCAACAAUGAAGUUGAUUUCCAAAGUAAACACAUGUCUGCAGUAAAAGACGACUCUGAAGAUGAACCUAACAUUUCUCCCGGAGCUUGGACAAAAAUAGAAGAGCACGAGGAUGAACAGAUUCCAUCCAAUACCACUGCUACCCAUAGCAAACCUCUUGCAACUGAACCCGAGAGUGCUGCAAUUCCACAGGUUCAUCCCUCUUUUUCUCAACCUUUCCAGGAUGAAAGCAGUGACUCUGGUGAUGUAGCCUGGGGGAAUGCAGAUAAUCCUCCUACAAUGGUCUAUCAGAAGGACGCGCCCAAAGGACUGAAAAAGCUUCUAAAGUUUGCUAGGAAGAGUAAGACCGAUGCAAACACAACACGUUUGUCAAGCCAGUCUGUCAUUUCCAAACGAGGGGAUGUCAUAGAGGAAACCAUAGCUCUUAGUAAGAAGGAUGGUGACAAUCUACUGAAGAAGGCCACAUCGCAUACAAAGAACUACGGGAAUAAAAUUGCUUUAUCAAGUGAAUCCCGCACUAAAGAUCCAACUACUCAUGGAGUUUCUGAAAGCAACAACCUUUGCAGCUCAAGCGGGUAAAGGCAAACUAGUUUCCCAAAGCAAAUCUCAGAAACUGCCAGAGGGCGCAAAAGCAACAAGAUCAUUUUUCUCUCUUUCAGCAUUCAAGGGGACCAAGCAGAAUGAUCCGCUGGUUCAUUGACAACCAAGUUCAGAUACAUCAUGACAUGAACCGACUUCUCUGGCUCUGCUCGAGUGCUCGUGGAAUUUGCUUCCUUCUCUGCAUGGUCUGUACACAGGCAAUUGCAGCUAAGGUGGUUGGAACGUUGGAUAGCGUAGCGUGCAGUGUACAUAGUGUGCUUCUAUGUAUUUAACAUAUCAACUAUGUAACCAAAUAUUUCAUCCAUCAAACAGUAUUGCCUCUAUAUGUAUCAAGACAACCUUAGCCUUUUUGCUGCAGCAAUAUAUCAUUUGUCUAUCAAAAUA